rnacentral:rRNA from 1 species
UUUGACCUCAAAUCAGGUAGACUACCAGUCGUGACUUUAGCAUAUCAAUAAGCGGAGGA